rnacentral:rRNA from 1 species
CAGCGCCGCGGUAAUACGUAGGGUGCGAGCGUUAAUCGGAAUUACUGGGCGUAAAGCGUGCGCAGGCGGUUGUGUAAGACAGGUGUGAAAUCCCCGGGCUUAACCUGGGAACUGCGCUUGUGACUGCACAGCUAGAGUAUGGCAGAGGGGGGUGGAAUUCCACGUGUAGCAGUGAAAUGCGUAGAGAUGUGGGGGAACACCGAUGGCGAAGGCAGCCCCCUGGGCCAAUACUGACGCUCAUGCACGAAAGCGUGGGGAGCAAACAGGAUUAGAUACCCCGGUAGUCCCUGUCUCUUAUACC